UACGGGGGGGGGCAAGCGUUGUUCGGAAUUACUGGGCGUAAAGGGCUCGUAGGCGGCCAACUAAGUCCGACGUGAAAUCCCAAGGCUUAACCUUGGAACUGCGUCGGAUACUGGAUGGCUUGAAUUCGGGAGAGGGAUGCAGAAUUCCAGGUGUAGCGGUGAAAUGCGUAGAUAUCUGGAGGAAUACCGGUGGCGAAGGCGGCAUCCUGGACCGACAUUGACGCUGAGGAGCGAAAGCCAGGGGAGCGAUCCGG
rnacentral:rRNA from 1 species